rnacentral:lncRNA from 1 species
GAAAUCUACUCUCGCAUUGCACUUGACACUCUAUCUCAUUAUCAAUGUAGCCUGUAUAUAGCGGGGAUUUUCAAUCCUUAAAAUUUGGAGGUUGUGUAAUGAUGAGGAUUUCAGUAAAGUGGAGAGUAUAGUAGGGAUUUUUUAAAUUUAUUAGUGACUUUGCUUUUACAGAGUUUCUUUUAGAAUUUUCUUUUAAUAUUGUUUUGCUUGCAUUAAUUUAAAGGUUAAUAUAAUAAUUAAAAUGUAAUAUUGAACAGUUACAGUCUGUAAUCCCAUAAAAUUCCUAAUUUUUUAAUCCUGAUAAUGUAAUAAUGUUAACAUUACAUUAAAGAAAUGUACGUUUCUAAUAGAACAACACAAUAAAACGCACAUAUUUGUAGGAGAAGCAAAUCAAAAAGUUUAUGCAAUUAAGAUAACUACAUGUCAUGAUAUAACGAAUUAGAGAUGCAAUUGUAUGAAUUAAUAAAAAUCGACGUCGUCAUGCCAGAAAAAGCAGAGUGGCAAACCUGUAUUCGUGUAGAAGGGCCAUAUUUUAAACAAGCGUAGAAUACGCUUACAACGUUUGUACGAGGAAACCUCAGACACCUUGUAUAUUCUAUUUUCUUCGCUUUUGCUCUUUUACUCUUAUUGUCCAACUUUCGUUCUGCCCUCUGAAGUAAGAUUGAGUUUACCACUCCAUAACCUUUCUUUACUGUUUGUUGGGGACAUAGUAGUCUCUACAUUUCUGUAAUAAGUGUUGAGAUUAACUAAUAAUUCUUUAUUAAUAAAUAAAGUUAAAAGAUA